rnacentral:rRNA from 1 species
GUGGGGAAUUUUGGACAAUGGGCGCAAGCCUGAUCCAGCAAUGCCGCGUGCAGGAAGAAGGCCUUCGGGUUGUAAAGCACUUUUGUCCGGAAAGAAAUCUCCUGGGUUAAUACCUCGGGGGGAUGACGGUACCGGAAGAAUAAGCACCGGCUAACUACGUGCCAGCAGCCGCGGUAAUACGUAGGGUGCGAGCGUUAAUCGGAAUUACUGGGCGUAAAGCGUGCGCAGGCGGCUAUGCAAGACAGAUGUGAAAUCCCCGGGCUCAACCUGGGAACUGCAUUUGUGACUGCACAGCUGGAGUGCGGCAGAGGGGGAUGGAAUUCCGCGUGUAGCAGUGAAAUGCGUAGAUAUGCGGAGGAACACCGAUGGCGAAGGCAAUCCCCUGGGCCUGCACUGACGCUCAUGCACGAAAGCGUGGGGAGCAAACAGGAUUAGAUACCCGAGUAGUCC